rnacentral:lncRNA from 1 species
UUCCAGACUUUGCAUUUCACAUGGGGACCUUCGAGAACUGUAUCCCCACAUAGAAUGACAGCUUCCUGCAGAAUCACCAGGGAUGUGUUCCUCAAAAUCUCAUCAACACAGCGCAGGCCUGAAGAGAAACAAUAAUUCACGAACAACCUCUUGAUGAUGAGCAUCAAAAUGAAAUGGAGAUCAUCUCAGCAGCUUGAAGUUGCAUUGACAUGUGAAAGCACUAACAGUGGUAUGUCCUGUCAUAAGGACGUGAACUUUCAAGUCAGUGAAGCAUCUACUAAUGCAAAAUUUAUUUACUCCACUGUGACCAUAAGUGGAUCUGGGCAGCCUAUGUAGAUUACUUCUGUCCGCAUUUUAUUUCUCCCCUUUUAUCCUUCUGACGGUACCGCUGACAAUCUUUGUGUGAGGUGCAAUAAGUCAUUCCCAGAUGACCAGUACUCCCAACAUCAGAAUAAAAGCAGUACAGCUCAUAAGCUGACAGAAGUUCUUGCUGUCCAGUCAACUUCAAAACCCAGCAGUGAUCCACCACAGCCUUCUACCUCCCUGGCUCCCUCUUCCAGUUCUGAAAAGGCAACAGCAUGGAAAGAUCUCUGUCCCAAAGGGAAAGGAAGGUACCAUCCAUUGACCUCCAAAACCUCGCCCAAACCUUCAAAGAACAAAAAGAUGGUUGGCUUUCCUUCUCCCACAAGAGGCAGACUUUCCACAUCACCUCAAGCUCUUAAAGACACCUGGUCUUACGACUUGCUGGUGACCUGUGCCCACUGCAACGUUAUUCUGCCACUUCCAACUCUUCAGAAACAUGAGAAGACUCUUUCUAGAGUGCUCAUGAUUAAAUUUGGAAAUAGAGAAGCAUCUUCAGACUGAAACUACAGCUCAACUUUAGCAAAAGGUAUUGCAGGUGCAAUAGGUUUAUCAAUGAAGAAUAAGUGUCUCGCUACUCCAGAUCAAGAAAAAAGAGUGACUCAGAUUUUUAUUCCUUUUUAAGAAAGGCAUGUCACAGGUUUCACCACUGAAACCAGUGCUUUGCACUGCUUUGCACUGGUUACACCUUCAUAUAGUUUACUAUUCUUAAUAUUCUUGGAUAUGUAUCACAGCAAUGGAUCCAUCUGUAUAAAAGCAUAAGCUCUCUCUCAUUUUUUUGCUUUGGUGUUUCUACAGAUUCCAGCAGUGCUGGACUUACCAGGCCUCCAAGGAACUCCUUUAUUGGUCUUUGAAGUCUGUUUGAGGAUGGCUGGUAAACAUAAUACAGUCUGAAGAGAAUCCAUGAAUAAAACAAAUUUGAAGAGGAACUGGGCA